AUUGAACGCUGGCGGCAGGCCUAACACAUGCAAGUCGAGCGGUAACACAGAGGAGCUUGCUCCUUGGGUGACGAGCGGCGGACGGGUGAGUAAUGCCUGGGGAUCUGCCCGAUAGAGGGGGAUAACUACGGGAAACUGUAGCUAAUACCGCAUAACGUCUACGGACCAAAGUGGGGGCUCUUCGGACCUCAUGCUAUCGGAUGAACCCAGGUGGGAUUAGCUAGUUGGUGAGGUAAUGGCUCACCAAGGCGACGAUCUCUAACUGGUUUGAGAGAAUGACCAGUCACACUGGAACUGAGACACGGUCCAGACUCCUACGGGAGGCAGCAGUGGGGAAUAUUGCACAAUGGGCGCAAGCCUGAUGCAGCCAUGCCGCGUGUGUGAAGAAGGCCUUCGGGUUGUAAAGCACUUUCAGCGGGGAGGAAGGGUCACUAGUUAAUACCUAGUGGCAUUGACGUUACUCGCAGAAGAAGCACCGGCUAACUCCGUGCCAGCCGCCGCCGUAAUAC
rnacentral:rRNA from 1 species